rnacentral:lncRNA from 1 species
GCCACUACGCUGAGGAUAUGCCGUGUACUAAAAUUCCUCAGGACUCCUCACAGCUGCCCUGUAAGGAAGCGGCCAUGGCCGGGUUCUAGCGAUGCGAGGCCGAGGCUCGGGGCGCUGAGUAGCCUAGCGCGUCGCCGAGGAGAGCUGGCACGUGAACCCCUUGUCGUUUGCCGUCAGAGGUGUUAUGUGGUGGCCCUCAUUCUCCAUGCAUGGAGCAGACUCUAGGAUCUGCAGUUACUGUAUGAUGAGCCCUUCUGAGUAUUUUGCUUGGGUGGACAGUUUAUGUGUCAGGUAUGUGUAUUUAUAAUUAAAAUCAAAUAUUAUUACAUAGGCUUUGCACCUGGCGAGGUAACAUUGAGAGUAGUUAAUCUCUAGACUGGAAUCCAUCUGGAAGACCACUCAAUAACUUGUGAUUAGCUGGACCUGGUGAUGCAAGCCUGGAGUCCCAGUUACCCGGAGGCUGAGGUGGGAAUAUCGCUUGAGACCAGGAGUUUGAGGCUACAGUGAGCUGUGAUUGUACCACUGCACUCCAGCCUGGGUGACAGUGCAAGACCUCAUCUCUUAAAAAAAACAAACAACUCAAAAAACCUCAUCAUUGAGCACCUAUGAUGUGCCAGCAACUGUACUCAGUGGUGGGGACUUGACGACAAACAAACCAGGGAUGGGAUCCUUGAGCAGUCACCAUCUGACAAGUGACUGGGAAAGAUGAAUAAUGCCCUUCACCAAGAUUCUUCUCUGAUCCACAAAUUCAAUUACCAAUUUAUUUGUUCACUGCUCUUAAACUUAAAUAUUUUUUAGUAGGUAAU